rnacentral:lncRNA from 1 species
GAGGGCGAUGAGAGCGGGUACUGCGAACUGCCGGGCGAUGCCGCCGCUGCCGCCUUGAUACCGAGAGCAACAGUUCCCCAGCAACACCCCCCUCCCCGACACAGGCACACCCCCCGAGGAGGCACGCACACCCACCCUCAGGAUCCAAGGAACUUGCGUCGGGGAAGGAAUUUGGCCCAGGAAAUCCACCCUGCCCCACCACGCAGAGCCAGGAAGGAAAGAGAGCCUCAUGCCUAAGCCUCGGGGAGCACCAUGGAUCUGACAAAGAUGGGCAUGAUCCAGCUGCAGAACCCCAGCCACCCCACGGGGCUCCUGUGCAAGGCCAACCAGAUGCGGCUGGCCGGGACGCUGUGCGAUGUGGUCAUCAUGGUGGACAGCCAGGAGUUCCAUGCCCACCGGACCGUGCUGGCCUGCACCAGCAAGAUGUUUGAGAUCCUCUUCCACCGCAACAGCCAGCACUAUACUCUGGACUUCCUCUCUCCAAAGACCUUCCAGCAGAUUCUGGAGUAUGCAUACACGGCCACGCUGCAAGCCAAGGCGGAAGACCUGGAUGACCUGCUGUAUGCAGCUGAGAUCCUGGAGAUUGAGUACCUGGAGGAGCAGUGCCUGAAGAUCCUGGAGACCAUCCAAGCCUCAGACGACAAUGACACGGAGGCCACCAUGGCGGAUGGCGGGGCCGAGGAAGAAGAGGACCGCAAGGCUCGGUAUCUCAAGAACAUCUUCAUCUCGAAGCAUUCCAGCGAGGAGAGUGGGUAUGCCAGUGUGGCUGCCCAGAGCCUCCCUGGGCCCAUGGUGGACCAGAGCCCUUCUGUCUCCACCUCGUUUGGUCUUUCAGCCAUGAGUCCCACCAAGGCGGCGGUGGACAGUUUGAUGACCAUAGGGCAAUCUCUCCUGCAGGGGGCUCUUCAGCCUCCUGCUGGGCCUGAGGAGCCGACUCUGGCGGGGGGAGGUCGGCACCCUGCGGUGGCCGAGGUGAAGCCGGAGAUGAUGCAGGUGGAUGAGGUGCCCGGCCAGGACAGCCCUGGUGCAGCGGAGUCUAGCAUCUCGGCUGGGAUGGGGGACAAGGUUGAGGAAAGGGGGAAGGAGGGGCCCGGAACCCCAACUCGGAGCAGCGUCAUCACCAGCGCUCGGGAGCUGCACUAUGGACGCGAGGAGAGUGCUGAGCAGCUGCCCCCUCCCACCGAGGCUGGCCAGGGCCCCCCAGGCCGACCAGAGCCCCCCGCGCCCCCAGCCGAGAAGCACCUGGGCAUCUACUCCGUGUUGCCCAACCACAAGGCCGAUGCCGUGUUGAGCAUGCCGUCCUCGGUGACCUCGGGCCUCCACGUGCAGCCCACCCUGGCUGUCUCCAUGGACUUUAGCACCUAUGGGGGUCUGCUGCCCCAGGGCUUCAUCCAGAGGGAGCUAUUCAGCAAGCUGGGGGAGCUGGCCGUGGGCAUGAAGUCGGAGAGUCGCAGCGUCGGGGAGCAGUGCAGCGUGUGCGGGGUGGAGCUUCCUGACAACGAGGCAGUGGAGCAGCACAGGAAGCUGCACAGUGGGAUGAAGACGUACGGGUGUGAGCUCUGCGGAAAGCGGUUCCUGGAUAGUUUGCGACUGAGAAUGCACUUACUGGCUCAUUCAGCGGGUGCCAAAGCCUUUGUCUGUGAUCAGUGCGGUGCCCAGUUUUCGAAGGAGGAUGCCCUGGAGACACACAGGCAGACCCAUACCGGCACGGACAUGGCUGUCUUCUGUCUGCUGUGCGGGAAGCGUUUCCAGGCCCAGAGCGCGCUCCAGCAGCACAUGGAAGUCCACGCGGGCGUACGCAGCUACAUCUGCAGCGAGUGCAACCGCACCUUCCCCAGCCACACCGCCCUCAAACGCCACCUGCGCUCACAUACAGGUGACCACCCGUAUGAGUGUGAGUUCUGUGGCAGCUGCUUCCGGGAUGAGAGCACACUCAAGAGCCACAAGCGCAUCCACACGGGCGAGAAACCCUACGAGUGCAAUGGCUGUGGCAAGAAGUUCAGCCUCAAGCACCAGCUGGAGACGCACUAUCGAGUGCAUACAGGAGAGAAGCCCUUCGAGUGUAAGCUGUGCCACCAGCGCUCCCGGGACUACUCGGCCAUGAUCAAGCACCUGCGGACCCACAACGGCGCCUCGCCCUACCAGUGCACCAUCUGCACGGAGUACUGCCCCAGCCUGUCCUCCAUGCAGAAGCACAUGAAGGGCCACAAGCCCGAGGAGAUCCCGCCCGACUGGAGGAUAGAGAAGACGUACCUCUACCUGUGUUACGUGUGAGGCCAGCCUGCGGCCAUGGCGGGGGAGCAGGAGAAGCGUUAGAGCAGGAUGACGUCCAGAAGGACUGUGCAAAAACCACCACAAAAAACAAAAAGCAAACAAAAAAAGAAAGAAAAAGAGAGAGAAGGACAAGGGAACCUGGGGGCUGUCUGGCUCUGGAUUCCCUCUGGGGCUCCAGGUGACCUGGCUGCCUGGCCGAGCCCCCUGCCACCCGAGGGCCCGGCCCUCCUUUCCCAGCUGGAGGUCGGCCGGCUCUUCUUGGGUGGGGGGUGGGGGGGAUUUUGUUCAGCUCAGAUGGUGGGAUGUUUUUCUCUUCCUUCCACUCAGAUCCUCCUUUUGUGUCCAGAGUUGGCGUCCAGGCGGGGAGGGAAGGAUUCUCCGGUCGGAGUCAAACCAUCUUUGCCUGCCGUCCUCUCACGACUCCUGGGAAGACGGGGCUGAGGAACGGGUGGGGUGGGAGGUUGCGGAGAGGGGGCCUGCAGGCGGUGGGGCUGGGCUGGGUCGCUGGUUGAUGCUCACAAAGGCAGCUCUGGUUUGCUGGGGGCAGACAGGGGCAGGGAGGGGCGCCUCUACGCUUCCCCCGCUCCAUCCAUUGUUGGCUCUCCUCCACUCAGCCAUGCAGGGUGGCCCCUCCUGGUCUUCAGGGCCCUCUCCCCCAAUCCUGUGGCCCCCUGGCUCCCCUCCUCGCCCCUCCCUUGUGGACCAGGGGUGUCUCCCUCCUCCCAGUUGGGAAGCUGUGAGACUCCAGAGCCCCUGCCGGCACUCGUGGCUUUCUGAGAACGUGGACGAAGUCAGUGGAAGAGCCCACCCCGUCCAGCCCUGUCCUGAGCGAGAUUCCUGCUGAGCUGCUUCUGCUUCUAGAGUGGAAAAAAGGAGCAACUUGAUACACACCGUCCCACCAAACACACGCAAAUCCCUACAGCCCUCCUCAGCCCCCCGGAGGAGGAAUCCGUGAAAGGGUGUGUUGCCCACGAGGGCCUGGGUGUUCCUCCAGAGGCACCUACACCGGGCGGGGACACCUGCCCUGGGAGGGAGGUGGGGAGUUGUGCUGGGGACCUUCGAACACGUGGGCCCCCGACCUGGUGAGCUCUGUGGGAAAACCCAGGUCCAGAGGGGCACAGGAUUCCUGGCUCCCAGGGCACCCCCAGUCCACAGGGAGACGGAGGAGGAGGUGGAGGUGUUGAAAGCGCUUUGCCUUGCGUUAUGUUUUGCUUCUUUUCUGUGUCCUCUGUUCACCUGUUAGCACAUUGUACUUGAAUUACCUCAGUUUUUUGUGACCUCAUGAGCUUUUUUGACCCCUGUAUCUCUUUUUUGGUUGGGGGUUGGAGGAAUGGGGAGAGUGUUCUUUUCUGUUGCUUGUGUAAACUAAGAGCUGGUUUAAUAGACGCCAGCCAGCCGAGGCCCUCCGCGUCCCCCGGUGACGAGCCUCCCAGGUGCAGGGAGCUGGGCAGAAGGAGCAGAGGACUCAGGAUCUGAAUGUGAGGGCCGGGCCAAGGUGGGUGCCAGGGAUGGGGGACCGGGGGCACAACAGAAUCACGGCUGGCUCUGCCCAGGGCGUGACGUCAUCGCGCCCAGCAUCGCCUCCGCCUGAAACAGUCUGGAGAGAAUUCCACCUUUCCUGUGGUUUGCUGGGUCACCCAGGUCUCGGGGCCCAUGUUUCUCAGAUCCUUGCAACUGCCUGGCCCCACCUCGGUGUGCAUUAUCAUGGCCAAAACUGGUCUCUUUGCAGGCCGUUUGGGGACGAGCCGGCCUUGUGUGUUGUCCUGAUGGGGCGGGGGGUGUUGUUUUUCUAAAAGCUACCUCUUAUGUUCGUCCAGUUCUUUUGUUCCCUUCAUGCCUCCCAUCCUGCUGCUCUGCUCCCCCCGCCUCCUCCCCAGCCUCCCCUCCCUGAAUUUUUGGAAAAGCACAUUUGCAAUAUUUGUGUUCGCUUUGGGACGGGUCUUCCGUUUCAUCUCAUGCUUUAUUUGUAAGAUGUGUGUGUGUUUUUCUUUCCUUUCUCUCUCUGAGAAAGUUGUGGCUGCGUUUUUAUCUUAGGUUUUAAAAAGUGGUAUAGGGAAGCGGUUUGGGGGAGAAGGGUUGUGAGGAAUACAGGGAAGUCGGAGGGAUGGAUGCUGCUGUGACCCCCCUGUCCCUCGGCCCCAUCCCUCCUCCCUCCCCUGCAAUCUCACCCACCAAAUCUGAAGGCCUUAAAAAUUGUGUGUUGGGGGGGGUAUGGACUGGGGAGACUGUGUCGCUAGACUGUUGAUUGGGGGUGAUAACAUAGGGAGGAUGCUAUUUUGCAACUAUAAUAAUGACUUAGUGCUUUGGAAAGGAAAAAGAAGUUAAACUUGAACUACAUGACUAGAGCAGUUGUGUUUAUAAUGUGAAGUGUGGACUCGUUGGGGGAGGGGCAGUCUGUAAGAAAUCUUUGUGCACUAUUGCUGCCCUCCCCCAAUCUGGGAAGAACUGGGGACUGGCUGGCCCUUAGGGGAUCUGUCAAUCCCAGAAAACAGUAUUUGAACAGCAAGAUGUCAUGCAACUUUGGUGGGGGAAGGAAAAAAAAAGGCAAACUAUUCCAUAGACCCAGCUAACACCUCUUCCUCUCCUGCACCCUUCCCAGCCAGCCUGGGUCUCCGCCCCUGUUUGUAAAGGCUGAAAGGGUUGAGCUGAUAUUUACAAAUUGUAAUAUUUUUGUAAUAUUUGUUAGUUCCUUCAUCAGUUCUCCCGGACCUUGCCCUUUCCUUUUGUAAUGUGAAUAGGGAAAAAACAAAAAAACAAAAAAGAU